UACGGAGGAUGCAAGCGUUAUCCGGAUUUAUUGGGCGUAAAGCGUCCGCAGGUGGCUAUUCAAGUCUGCUGUCAAAGCCCGGAGCUUAACUCCGAAUCGGCGGUGGAAACUGAACAGCUAGAGUGCAGUAGGGGUAGAGGGAAUUCCCAGUGUAGCGGUGAAAUGCGUAGAGAUUGGGAAGAACACCGGUGGCGAAAGCGCUCUACUGGACUGCAACUGACACUCAGGGACGAAAGCUAGGGGGGCGAAUGGG
rnacentral:rRNA from 1 species